rnacentral:rRNA from 1 species
UACGAGUUUGAUCAUGGCUCAGAUUAAACGCUGGCGGCAUGCCUUACACAUGCAAGUCGAACGGCAGCACGGGGGCAACCCUGGUGGCGAGUGGCGGACGGGUGAGUAAAGCAUCGGAACGUAUCCUGGAGUGGGGAUAACGUAGCGAAAGUUACGCUAAUACCGCAUAUUCUGUGAGCAGGAAAGCAGGGGAUCGCAAGACCUUGCGCUCUGGGAGCGGCCGAUGUCGGAUUAGCUAGUUGGUGGGGUAAAGGCCUACCAAGGCGACGAUCCGUAGCGGGUCUGAGAGGAUGAUCCGCCACACUGGGACUGAGACACGGCCCAGACUCCUACGGGAGGCAGCAGUGGGGAAUUUUGGACAAUGGGCGCAAGCCUGAUCCAGCCAUGCCGCGUGAGUGAAGAAGGCCUUCGGGUUGUAAAGCUCUUUCGGCGGGGAAGAAAUUGCACGGGUUAAUACCCUGUGUAGAUGACGGUACCCGAAUAAGAAGCACCGGCUAACUACGUG